GAAGUCCGAUGCCGAUAUUCUAAUCCCAAGAAUUUGCAAACCUGCUACUUUGCACAGCAGAUGAAGCCUGGCAGGUAUGGUCAAGAGAAAUGGCUCCGUGGUAAAAGCUGCAAGCAUGAAGACCAGAGUUUGGACCCCCUGGCCUCAGAAUGAUCUCUAUGGGCAUAGCAACGCCCCAGAAACUUCAGCGGGUGUGAGGAGAGUCAUGUGAUCUCCAGAGGAAGCUGGCUAGUUAUCGAAAGACUAGACAAGCCAACACACUUCAGACCUCCCAGACUCUGCAGUCCAUGAGUCUUUCACAAGCUCUGCCUCUCUGGAGUCUACCAAGCCUCAAUAGAUGAAUUAUUCUUAUAGCAGUUUCAGUAUCAGAGGACGUCAGGAAACAACUGUGGGCUCCAGUGUGCCUGUCAGAUAACGCCCUAACCGUCACCUUUGUGCCCCGUAAAACACUCACACAUUCUGUGUCUGUGUCUCACGUGACCAGGAGUUGGUACCAAGGACCAGACUCGAGUCGUCAGGGUUGCACAAUGAGCUCUUGGCCCACAGAGCCCUACCACCACUCCAAACCAUUUUGUUUGCUCAUUUGUUUGCUCUCCUGGAGGAUUGAGAGGUUUCUGCUGCCGUCCGAGAGGGGUCAUUGCAUUGGAAUCUACUGACCAGCACUAUCUGCAGUCCUGGAAGAAAGCAAUCACUUCAUUGGAACAGGACUCGGGCAGCUUCCCAGCGGAUCAGCACAAAUCCACAGCCUUUCCAAGGCAGAACUGAAACUAUGUGUCCCCAGACAAGCACAUAUAUGAAGGAACGCGUUUAUGUGUCUGAGGACCAUUAUCAGAUAGCGUUAAGUCCUUGUCACAGCUGAGGGGCUUCUCCUAUCCUGUUUCUGUCUGCCUGUUUCUGCAGGGGGCCUCACCUAGGCCUCCCUUCAUAAGACUGCUGAAGUCCUCCUCCCUUGUUUUGGCUCCCUGCUCUGCCACAUGGAGGGUCCUGGAUGAGGAAUACCAUGAUAGAAAGGGCUCAGUGCUGGUGUUCUUUUCCUAACUUGGCUGUGUGGCUGCCAUUCUUCUCAUGCUCAGGAAACAUACAAGGUUCCAGGAACCUUCUCCCUGUCUGGGUACAGAACCAUCCUCCAAAGCCCCACAGAGGGACCCAGGACACCCUGCACCAAUCAUCUCUCAGCCAGUAGCUGCUGCCUUUUCCUCAGCCCAUGCCAGGCUUUGCUACAGCUUAUGAACAUCUUCCCUCUCCAGCACAGGCUGCCAAAGCAGUGCACAGGGCCCGCUUCCACGUUUUCCUGUCAAGAAGAGCUUCCAGCUUCAUGUAGUAUAGAUUUGAAUGAAGCGUCAAGAUGUGACUCGGGAACCUGCAGCACAGCUUCCUGGAGGGAAUACUAUGGAGAGCCACCAUAGUUGGACAAGAGUGUGCUCCACAGGCUCCAGAUGCUUGGCUCCAGAUGUCCCUGGGUCAAUAAUGGAUGGCUCUGCGGAGGAUGGAGGCUAGCUAGGAAGUGAGCCUUGGAGGAAGUGUGUCACUGGAGGCGGGCUUGAGGGAAGUGUGUCACUGGAGGUGGGCUUGAGGGAAGUGUGUCACUGGAGGUGGGGUUGGGGUGAAGUGUGUCACUGGAAGUGAGCUUGGGGGGAAGUCUGUCACUGGAGGUGGGCUUGGGGGAAGUGUGUCACUGGAGGUGGGCUUGGGGGAAGUGUGUCACUGGAGGUGGGCUUGGGGGAAGUGUGUCACUGGAGGUGGGCUUUGAGAGUUUACAGUCUCUGUAGCACUUCCAGGUCACUCUUCCUUCCUGCUUUUAGUUCAAGAUUCUAACUCAUAGCAACCCAUGGUGGUCACCAUACCAUCUGCCAGAUGACUGUCACCAGAGACUCUCCCCCUCUGAAACCAUAGCCAAAAUAAACUCUUUCUUCUAAAA